AACGAACGCUGGCGGCAUGCCUAACACAUGCAAGUCGAACGAAGGCUUCGGCCUUAGUGGCGCACGGGUGCGUAACGCGUGGGAAUCUGCCCUUUGGUUCGGAAUAACAGCUGGAAACGGCUGCUAAUACCGGAUGAUGACGAACGUCCAAAGAUUUAUGGACAGAGGAUGAGUCCGCGUUGGAUUAGGUAGUUGGUGGGGUAAAGGCGUACCAAGCCGACGAUCCAUAGCUGGUCUGAGAGGAUGAUCAGCCACACUGGGACUGAGACACGGCCCCGACUCCUACACACAUACUCAAUAAAUAAUAUUAUACCAUCAACGCAAGCCUGAUCCACCAAUGCCGCGUGAGUGAUGAAGGCCCUAGGGUUCUAAAUCUCUUUUACCCUAGACCAUAAUAACUAUCCCCCCACAAUAAGCCCCGGCUAACUCCCUG
rnacentral:rRNA from 1 species